rnacentral:rRNA from 1 species
UAAUACGGAGGGGGCUAGCGUUGUUCGGAAUUACUGGGCGUAAAGCGCACGUAGGCGGAUUGGAAAGUUGGGGGUGAAAUCCCGGGGCUCAACCCCGGAACUGCCUUCAAAACUCCCAGUCUGGAGGUCGAGAGAGGUGAGUGGAAUUCCGAGUGUAGAGGUGAAAUUCGUAGAUAUUCGGAGGAACACCAGUGGCGAAGGCGGCUCACUGGCUCGAUACUGACGCUGAGGUGCGAAAGCGUGGGGAGCAAACAGG